rnacentral:tRNA from 1 species
GCGCGAGUGGCGGAAUGGCAGACGCGCACGGUUCAGGUCCGUGUACUCGUAAGGGUGUGGGGGUUCAACUCCCCUCUCGCGCACCC